GAUGAAGAACGUAGCGAAAUGCGAUACUUGGUGUGAAUUGCAGAAUCCCGUGAACCAUCGAGUCUUUGAACGCAAGUUGCGCCUCAAACCAUUAGGUUGAGGGCACGUCUGCCUGGGCGUCACAUAUCGUUGCCUGAUGCCAGUUUCCUCGUGAUGGGUGACUGUGCAGGGCGAAUGAUGGCUUCCCGUGAGCAUUGUUGCCUCAUGGUUGGUUGAAAAUUGAGUCCUUGGUAGGGAGCGCCGUGAUAGAUGGUGGUUGAGUGACGAACGAGACCCAAUCAUGUGAGACCCCUACCGAAUUUGGCCUUCAUGACCCACAUGCGUCUUUGGAACGCUCAUGACGAGACCUCAGGUCAGGCGGGGCUACCCGCUGAGUUUAAGCAUAUCAAUAAGCGGAGGA
rnacentral:misc_RNA from 1 species